UUAAGCAUAUAACUAGGCCGAGGAAAAGAAACUAACCAGGAUUCCCCCAGUAACGGCGAGUGAAGCGGGAGAAGCCCAUGCUGCCAACCGCUCCGGCGGGUUGUGCCAGGCGUGCCUGGUGAGGUCCCGGGGAGAAAUUCUUUGGAACAAGGUAUCAGAGAGGGUGACAAUCCCGUCUGUGCCUCGGGGUCCUCGCGUGAAGGCCGUCCUAGUGGAGUCGAGUUGCUUGGGAUUGCAGCUCAAAGUCGGUGGUAAAUUCCAUCGAAGGCUAAAUACGGGUGGGAGACCGAUAGCGAACAAGUACUGUGAAGGAAAGAUGAAAAGAACUUUGAAAAGAGAGUUAAAGAGUGCCUGAAAUUGCUGAGAGGGAACCGAAGGUGAUCAGUGGGGGCCGCUGCCAUUUUUCGUGUUCCGACCUCGGAGCACGCCCUGUGGCAGGGGCCCGCUCCGCGCCGUCGCGUCCGGCCGUAAGCUUGGGGCCGGGGGCGCCGGGGCGGAGGAAAUGGUCCUCUUUACCCCGUCUUGAAACACGGACCCA
rnacentral:rRNA from 1 species